rnacentral:rRNA from 1 species
CCUACGGGAGGCAGCAGUGAGGAAUAUUGGUCAAUGGGCGUAAGCCUGAACCAGCCAAGUCGCGUGAGGGAUGAAGGUUCUAUGGAUCGUAAACCUCUUUUAUAAGGGAAUAAAGUGCGGGACGUGUCCCGUUUUGUAUGUACCUUAUAAGUAAGGAUCGGCUAACUCCGUGCCAGCAGCCGAGGUAAUACGGAGGGUCAGAGCGUUAUCCGGAGUGAUUUGGUUUAGAGGGUGCGUAGGCGGCCUUUUAAGUCAGCGGUGAAAGUCUGUGGCUCACCCAUAGAAUUGUCGUUGAAACUGGGAGGCUUGAGUAUGUGUGAGGCAGGCGGAAUGCGUGGUGUAGCGGUGAAAUGCGUAGAUAUCACGCGGAACCCCGAUGGCGAAGGCAACCUGCCAAGCCAUGACUGACGCUGAGGCACGAAAGCGUGGGGAUCAAACAGGAUUAGAUACCCGUGUAGUC